rnacentral:rRNA from 1 species
ACGCUCGACACCUACGGGGGGCAGCAGUAGGGAAUCUUCCACAAUGGGCGCAAGCCUGAUGGAGCAACACCGCGUGAGUGAAGAAGGGUUUCGGUUCGUAAAGCUCUGUUGUUGGAGAAGAACGUGCGUGAGAGUAACUGUUCACGCAGUGACGGUAUCCAACCAGAAAGUCACGGCUAACUACGUGCCAGCAGCCGCGGUAAUCUGAGCGGCUGGCAAGGC